CACCCUUGUGUAUUAUUACUUUGUUGCUUUGGCGAGCUGCCUUCGGGCCUUGUAUGCUCGCCAGAGAAUACCAAAACUCUUUUUAUUAAUGUCGUCUGAGUACUAUAUAAUAGUUAAAACUUUCAACAACGGAUCUCUUGGUUCUGGCAUCGAUGAAGAACGCAGCGAAAUGCGAUAAGUAAUGUGAAUUGCAGAAUUCAGUGAAUCAUCGAAUCUUUGAACGCACAUUGCGCCCCUUGGUAUUCCGGGGGGCAUGCCUGUUCGAGCGUCAUUUCAACCCUCAAGCUUAGCUUGGUAUUGAGUCUAUGUCAGUAAUGGCAGGCUCUAAAAUCAGUGGCGGCGCCGCUGGGUCCUGAACGUAGUAAUAUCUCUCGUUACAGGUUCUCGGUGUGCUUCUGCCAAAACCCAAAUUUUUCUAUGGUUGACCUCGGAUCAGGUAGGGAUACCCGCUGAACUUAAGCAUAUCAAUAAGCGGA
rnacentral:rRNA from 1 species